rnacentral:rRNA from 1 species
UACGUAGGUGGCAAGCGUUGUCCGGAUUUAUUGGGUUUAAAGGGUGCGUAGGCGGUCUUAUAAGUCAGUGGUGAAAUCCUAUCGCUUAACGAUAGAAUUGCCAUUGAUACUGUAGGACUUGAGUACAGUUGCCGUUGGCGGAAUAUGACAUGUAGUGGUGAAAUACAUAGAGAUGUCAUAGAACACCGAUUGCGAAGGCAGCUAACGAAACUGUAACUGACGCUGAGGCUCGAAAGUGCGGGGAUCAAACAGG